CAGUGCAUCUGGACUUGGUUCAAGUGGCACCAGCCAAAUCCCUGCCUUACUGACCUCUCCCCUGGAGGAGCAGGAGCAGCGCUCAAGGCCGCCCUGGGAGGGCUGAGAGGCAGGCUCUGGACUGGGGACACAGGGAUAGCUGAGCCCCAGCUGGGGGUGGAAGCUGAGCCAGGGACAGUCACAGAGGAACAAGAUCAAGAUGCGCUUUAACUGAGAAGCCCCCAAGGCAGAGGCUGAGAAUCAGAAGACAUUUCAGCAGACAUCUACAAAUCUGAAGGACAAAACAUGGUUCAAGCAUCUGGGCACAGGCGGUCCACCCGUGGCUCCAAAAUGGUCUCCUGGUCCGUGAUAGCAAAGAUCCAGGAAAUAUGAUGCGAGGAAGAUGAGAGGAAGAUGGCGCGAGAGUUCCUGGCCGAGUUCAUGAGCACAUAUGUCAUGAUGGAGGACUUGUGUGAAGAAGGCCAAGUCUCAGCACCCAGUGUGGUACCCAUGUAUUGGUCCCUUGUUAUUAGGACGGGUGCUCUAGCUGCUGUCUCCUCUCUGUCUCUGGCCCUCCCCUACUCCUCUCUUACCUCCCCACCUGCUUUGGCUCCUGAGCUGUGAGGACAGCAGUUGGAUCCUGUCCCUCCUUAAUCCAGGGCAAAGUAAUUCACUUACCACAAGACAUUCCAGCCCCAUGAGGGCUGUUAACCCUUGGAGCCUCGGAGGCAGGAGGGUGCAUCCUCUGAGAGCUGUUAGGGAAAUAGGCACCGCCCACAUGCUUGAUACCUGCCCACAUCUGUGUUCCUCUUCCUUUUGCUGAGAUUUUCAUUGAGCACCUAAUGCAUCCCGGGCUCUGUGAUGCUAAGCCCCUUACGUGCAGCAUCUUCCCAAAUCCUCGCAAUAGCCCUGUGAAGUAGGUACUAUUGUUAUCCCAGUUUCACAGAUGGGAAAACUGAGGCUCCUUGAGACUAAGCCUUUUGCCCAAGGUCACACUUUAAGUCAAGAUUAAAUCCAGUGCAGUCUAAUAUCACAGUCUUUUUUGUUUUUGUUUUUGUUUUUUUGAGAUACAGUCUUGCUUUGUCACAGUGGUGCAAUCUCGGCUCA
rnacentral:lncRNA from 1 species